AUNUCGGUUGGGGAUGGGCUCGCGNNNNAUCAGCUNNNUGGUGAGGUAAUGGCUCACCAAGGCGUCGACGGGUAGCCGGCCUGAGAGGGUGACCGGNNNCACUGGGACUGAGACACGGCCCAGACUCCUACGGGAGGCAGCAGUGGGGAAUAUUGCACAAUGGGCGGAAGCCUGAUGCAGCAACGCCGCGUGAGGGAUGACGGCCUUCGGGUUGUAAACCUCUUUUAGCAGGGAAGAAGCGAAAGUGACGGUACCUGCAGAAAAAGCGCCGGCUAACUACGUGCCAGCAGCCGCGGUAAUACGUAGGGCGCAAGCGUUAUCCGGAAUUAUUGGGCGUAAAGAGCUCGUAGGCGGUUUGUCGCGUCUGCUGUGAAAUCCGGAGGCUCAACCUCCGGCCUGCAGUGGGUACGGGCAGACUAGAGUGCGGUAGGGGAGAUUGGAAUUCCUGGUGUAGCGGUGGAAUGCGCAGAUAUCAGGAGGAACACCGAUGGCGAAGGCAGAUCUCUGGGCCGUAACUGACGCUGAGGAGCGAAAGGGUGGGGAGCAAACAGGCUUAGAUACCCUGGUAGUCCACCCCGUAAACGUUGGGAACUAGUUGUGGGGUCCAUUCCACGGAUUCCGUGACGCAGCUAACGCAUUAAGUUCCCCGCCUGGGGAGUACGGCCGCAAGGCUAAAACUCAAAGGAAUUGACGGGGACCCGCACAAGCGGCGGAGCAUGCGGAUUAAUUCGAUGCAACGCGAAGAACCUUACCAAGGCUUGACAUAUACGAGAACGGGCCAGAAAUGGUCAACUCUUUGGACACUCGUAAACAGGUGGUGCAUGGUUGUCGUCAGCUCGUGUCGUGAGAUGUUGGGUUAAGUCCCGCAACGAGCGCAACCCUCGUUCUAUGUUGCCAGCACGUAAUGGUGGGAACUCAUGGGAUACUGCCGGGGUCAACUCGGAGGAAGGUGGGGAUGACGUCAAAUCAUCAUGCCCCUUAUGUCUUGGGCUUCACGCAUGCUACAAUGGCCGGUACAAAGGGCUGCAAUACCGCGAGGUGGAGCGAAUCCCAAAAAGCCGGUCCCAGUUCGGAUUGAGGUCUGCAACUCGACCUCAUGAAGUCGGAGUCGCUAGUAAUCG
rnacentral:rRNA from 1 species